rnacentral:rRNA from 1 species
CGAGCGGAGGGCGCGGUCGAAAGAUCGUGGCCCCGCACACGGCUCAGUAACACGUAGUCAACCUACCCUUGGGACGGGGACAACCUCGGGAAACUGAGGCUAAUUCCCGAUAGGCGAGGGACGCUGGAAUGCCUCCUCGCCCAAAGCUCCGGCGCCCGAGGAUGGGACUGCGGCCUAUCAGGCUGUUGGUGGUGUGACGGACCACCAAACCUACGACGGGUACGGGCGAUGGGAGUCGGAGCCUGGAGAUGGGGACUGAGACAAGGCCCCAGGCCCUACGGGGCGCAGCAGGCGCGAAAACUCCGCAAUGCGCGCAAGCGUGACGGGGGGAUCCCAAGUGCCGUUGGUCUUUUGAUCGACGGCUUUUAGGAAGUCUAAGAAGCUUCCAGAAUAAGGGCUGGGCAAGACUGGUGCCAGCCGCCGCGGUAACACCAGCAGCCCAAGUGGUGACCACGAUUAUUGGGCCUAAAGCGCUCGUAGCCGGGUCAGCAAGUCCCUUGUGAAAUCGGGCCGCCUAACGGUUCGGCGUGCAAGGGGUACUGUUGGUCUUGAGGCCGGGAGAGGUCGGAGGUACUCCUGGGGUAGCGGUGAAAUGCUCUAAUCCUGGGGGGACCACCAGUGGCGAAGGCGUCCGACCAGAACGGGCCUGACGGUGAGGGGCGAAGGCUAGGGGAGCGAACGGGAUUAGAUACCCCGGUAGUCCUAGCUGUAAAGCAUGCGGGCCAGGUGUCUAGUGC